rnacentral:ribozyme from 1 species
UUCUUCCCUCUUUGUUUUUUUUUUUUUUUUUUUUUUUUCUU